AUAUGAUGUUAUAUCGGAGUAGGUCAGUUUAGAGACUGGGAUGCUCGUUGACGGAGGAGAAAUUCGUGAAUACGAUGCGUGAUAAAAUGCGUUCAUACAGGGAAACUUGUUCCGUUGGGCUAUGUGGGAUGCUAAUUGCGUUUUUGUUAGGCACAGCACUGGUGGAGCCUGUGACGUCACAAACUGAACACGUUUUGCUUAACUGCACAUUUGAAGAUCCCACCAUUUGUAACUUCAAGUUCGACCGGAAUCACAGUCAGGCUGAGUGGAUACGGCACCGAGGACAAACUCCGAGUAGUAGGACAGGGCCCGAUGGUGAUCACACGACUGGUGAUGGAUACUACAUGUACAUGGAGGCGAGUAGGGUCCUUCCAGACUCACAGGCCAGACUUCAGUUUCCACCACUGCCUAGAUCCACGACUCCGCGCUGAGUGCACUUUUCAUACCACUUGCUUACUUUAUAUGGUGUAAUUGGCGGACUCCUAGAGGUUGUAGGUCACGGAGGCAAUGGUUCUAUCCGUAUAUGGUCAAUAUCAGGAAACCAAGGAUCACAAUGGAAAAACGCGAAAGUUACUAUCCCUGCCGAUAUAGUAAACAUAGAAUUUGUAGCCGUUCGUGGAUCU
rnacentral:misc_RNA from 1 species